UCUUCUUCCUGUGUUACCGCCCUUGGGCUGAGAGCGAAAUCAAGCAGUGAAGACAUCGCAUUCAUUGGAAGACUGGGAACAUUUGGAGGUACCUUAGUUAGGAGCCUUUAAAGUAUCAGGUAGCCUCUUCCUGAUCUGGAGCAGUGAGCCUGAGAAGACAAACCGUGGCUGUGGUCUGCUGUCCAGUGUUCUGCGUAGCAAGCUUUAGCCGGCACCAUGGCGUUGUCGUUCAAGAAGGAUCUGGACAAGUACAAGGAUCUUGACGAAGAUGAAAUCCUCAACAAACUGUCGGCGGAGGAGCUUAAACAGCUGGAGACGGCCCUCGAGGAGAUGGACCCUGAGGUCAGGAUGUGGUCAAAGAUUGAGAAGCUCCAGGGCUUUCAAGAGGAAGGGAGAGGGAGUGUCUGUAGCAGAGGGAGUUAGUGGGCGGAAAAACUAUU